GACAACAGUUAUAUCAACUCAAGACUGUUAGCCAUACAAGAUCUAAGAGCCUGUAAUAACCCACUUAACAAUUUUUAAAUGGUUAAACAUUUAAAAGUCAAUAAAAAAUGGAUAAAGUAAUUAAUUAAUUGAUAUCAUAAUCGAUGUAGUAUAAAUAAAUGCUCGUCGUGCUCUGAAAAGCUAUUAAUUGACUGCCACAAUGAAAAUCCUGUUGCUCUGCGUCGCUCUAGUUGCGUGCGCGUGCGCUGCUUACGCAGGACUGGAUAUUCCCUCGGAUCUUGGCUGGCACGUUAUAGACGGACGACACGCUGGCUCUACUGGGGCCUAUUACAAGCCAUGAUCCACCGGUUUGACGACCAAGACUACUAAUAUUAACUUCAACUUCGUAAUAAAAUGUAAACUGCU